rnacentral:rRNA from 1 species
UUGACCUCAAAUCAGGUAGGACUACCCGCUGAACUUAAGCAUAUCAAUAAGCGGAGGAAAAGAAACUAACAAGGAUUCCCCUAGUAACUGCGAGUGAAGCGGGAAAAGCUCAAAUUUAAAAUCUGGUAGUCUUUGGCUGCCCGAGUUGUAAUCUAGAGAAGUGUUAUCCGCGUUGGACCGUGUACAAGUCUCCUGGAAUGGAGCGUCAUAGAGGGUGAGAAUCCCGUCUUUGACACGGACUACCAGGGCUUUGUGAUGCGCUCUCAAAGAGUCGAGUUGUUUGGGAAUGCAGCUCUAAAUGGGUGG